rnacentral:rRNA from 1 species
ACGAACGCUGGCGGCGUGCUUAACACAUGCAAGUCGAGCGGUAAGGCCUUUCGGGGUACACGAGCGGCGAACGGGUGAGUAACACGUGGGUGAUCUGCCCUGCACUUCGGGAUAAGCCUGGGAAACUGGGUCUAAUACCGGAUAUGACCUCAUAUCGCAUGGUGGGUGGUGGAAAGAUUUAUCGGUGCAGGAUGGGCCCGCGGCCUAUCAGCUUGUUGGUGGGGUAAUGGCCUACCAAGGCGACGACGGGUAGCCG